UGAUCAUAAGUUGCUAAAACAUGAGAUAAUUUAUCUUGAAAUAUUGUUCCAUCUCCUCUGCAUGUGUGGCCUUGAGCGAGAAUGGUAAGAAAUGUGUGCAACCGUGUAGCUCCGCCCUCAGACUCUACAGAUUUAGCUUCACUCAGACCUCUGCAGCAAAAUUAGUAAUUGCUGUAGAUCAUUUUCAGUCCUCUGAAAUUCUCUCUCUCUCUCUUUCUGUGUGUGUGUGUGUGUGUGUGUGUGUGUGUGUGUGUGUGUGUGUGUGUGUGUGUGUGUGUGUGUGUGUGUGUGUGUGUGUGUGUGUGUAGACAGCUGCGUUCUUAUUUAUGUUGGAC